rnacentral:lncRNA from 1 species
UUUAAAGACUAGUUCGGAGAUUGGUUCAUUACUUUCCAUGUUCAGGGUGUAGGUGAUGUGUUGGAAGGGGGGAAAGAGGCAAAUGUCAGAGGCAUCAUAAAGAGUGAGCUGUGUUUAGUGAGUGCUGGAAACGACUUGAAGGUUAGCAGUGGAGUGACUCAAUUCAGGGGUAAAGAGAUUUUGAGAGUACCUAGCUGCUGUAAACCAUAUGCCAGAGGUGUUGAUCUUGGCAAAUGUGAAAAUUAUA